rnacentral:rRNA from 1 species
AUUGAACGCUGGCGGCAUGCCUUACACAUGCAAGUCGAACGGUGACAGGUUAAGCUGACGAGUGGCGAACGGGUGAGUAAUGUAUCGGAACGUGCCCAGUCGUGGGGGAUAACUACUCGAAAGAGUGGCUAAUACCGCAUACGACCUGAGGGUGAAAGCGGGGGACCGUAAGGCCUCGCGCGAUUGGAGCGGCCGAUAUCAGAUUAGCUAGUUGGUGGGGUAAAAGCCCACCAAGGCGACGAUCUGUAGCUGGUCUGAGAGGACGACCAGCCACACUGGGACUGAGACACGGCCCAGACUCCUACGGGAGGCAGCAGUGGGGAAUUUUGGACAAUGGACGCAAGUCUGAUCCAGCCAUGCCGCGUGCGGGAAGAAGGCCUUCGGGUUGUAAACCGCUUUUGUCAGGGAAGAAACGGGUUUCUCUAAUACAGAGACUUAAUGACGGUAUCUGAAGAAUAAGCACCGGCUAACUACGUGCCAGCCGCCGCGGUAAUAC